GAUGAACGCUGGCGGCGUGCCUAAUACAUGCAAGUCGAGCGAACGGACGAGAAGCUUGCUUCUCUGAUGUUAGCGGCGGGCGGGUGAGUAACACGUGGAUAACCUACCUAUAAGACUGGGAUAACUUCGGGAAACCGGAUCUAAUACCGGAUAAUAUUUUGAACCGCAUGGUUCAAAAGUGAAAGACGGUCUUGCUGUCCCUUAUUGAUGGAUCCGUGCUGGAUUAGCUAGUUGGUAAGGUAACGGCUUACCAAGGCAACGAUGCAUAGCCGACCUGAGAGGGUGAUCGGCCACACUGGAACUGAGACACGGUCCAGACUCCUACGGGAGGCAGCAGUAGGGAAUUUUCCGCAAUGGGCGAAAGCCUGACGGAGCAACGCCGCGUGAGUGAUGAAGGUCUUCGGAUCGUAAAACGCUGUUAUUAGGGAAGAACAUAUGUGUAAGUAACUGUGCACAUCUUGACGGUACCUAAUCAGAAAGCAACGGCUAACUACGUG
rnacentral:rRNA from 1 species